UACAGAGGGGGCAAGCGUUGUUCGGAAUUACUGGGCGUAAAGGGCGCGUAGGCGGCCUGCUAAGUCGGACGUGAAAUCCCCGGGCUCAACCCGAGAACUGCGUCCGAUACUGACAGGCUCGAAUCCGGGAGAGGGAUGUGGAAUUCCCGGUGUAGCGGUGAAAUGCGUAGAUAUCUGGAGGAACACCGGUGGCGAAGGCGGCAUCCUGGACCGGCAUUGACGCUGAGGCGCGAAAGCCAGGGGAGCAAACGGG
rnacentral:rRNA from 1 species